AUCGACCAGUCCUGAUAUCUAAUCACGGAUGUAUAGGUGAAUAAUAUUCUUUGACUGGAGUGUCCCUUUAAAACGCCUCAGACUCCUGAAUCCUUUCAUCAGGGUCAUAACGAACCUGGAGCCAAUGCCAGGGGACUCAGGGCAUACUGUAAGAAAGUAGGACACCAUGGACCUACUAUGCAUGUCUUUGGCCUGGGGAAGGAAACUGGUGUAUCCAGAGGAAACCCUCAAAGAACCAAGACAUGCAAAUUCCACACAGGGGGCAGACCCAGGAAUCAAACCCCCAACCCUGGAGGUCUAUGAAUACACCUGAUGCUUGAGCAGAAGAAAUCUGAAAUACCUUUUCACUUGUGUAUAUUCAGUUAUCCAAUCAGCCAAUCACAUGGCAUCAGCCCAACACAUAAAAUCUUGCAGAUACGGGUCAAG